AUGAACGCUAGCGGCAGGCCUAAUACAUGCAAGCCGAACGGCAAGGUUUUCAGCAAUGGGAACCCUAGAGUGGCGUAAGGGUGCGUAACACGUAUGCAAUCUACCCUUAACAGGCGGAUAGGUCCCCGAAAGGGAAUUAAGCCGCCAUAGGAAUUUUGGAUGGCAUCAUUUGAAAAUUUAAAACUACGGUGGUUAAGGAUGAGCAUGCGCAUGAUUAGUUAGUUGGCGGGGUAACGCCCACCAAGACUUUGAUCAUUAGGGGAACUGAGAGGUUCGGUCCCCCACACUGGCACUGAGA
rnacentral:rRNA from 1 species